ACUGGGAGAUAAGAGGUGAUACAGUACUGGAAAAGCUGAGGGGAAAAGAUGGUAAUUAAUCAGCUCCUUAAUUACUAAAAUGGGAAAUUCCUGAGUUACCCCUGUCCGCAAAUCCUCCCUCCACCUUAAUACCAGAUGAGGCAUUGCAGGUGUGCAAACAAGAACGAGGAAGCAAUACACUGCUGUAAGCGGUAAAUCUGCACAUGAAACCACUGCUGCUUGAAGUAUUAUGGCAAGAUUUGAAAUGUGGCCUGGAAGGCUCAUCCCUGCCUUGAUACUGAAACUGAACAGUGUGGGAUCUGAGAGUCUACAGGAAUCUGUGAAGGAAGCAUCGGAACCAGCUUUAAAGUUUUAGAAAAGCACACUGUAAUUAUGGCAAACGCUAAAACGGGCAGACUCUCUGGGGCAAUGGUUUUCAAACACCGGCAGC